GACGAACGCUGGCGGCGUGCUUAACACAUGCAAGUCGAACGGAAAGGCCCUGCUUUUGUGGGGUGCUCGAGUGGCGAACGGGUGAGUAACACGUGAGUAACCUGCCCUUGACUUUGGGAUAACUUCAGGAAACUGGGGCUAAUACCGGAUAGGAGCUCCUGCUGCAUGGUGGGGGUUGGAAAGUUUCGGCGGUUGGGGAUGGACUCGCGGCUUAUCAGCUUGUUGGUGGGGUAGUGGCAUACCAAGGCUUUGACGGGUAGCCGGCCUGAGAGGGUGACCGGCCACAUUGGGACUGAGCUACGGCCCAGACUCCUACGGGAGGCAGCAGUGGGGAAUAUUGCACAAUGGGCGGAAGCCUGAUGCAGCAACGCCGCGUGCGGGAUGACGGCCUUCGGGUUGUAAACCGCUUUCGCCUGUGACGAAGCGUGAGUGACGGUAAUGGGUAAAGAAGCACCGGCUAACUACGUG
rnacentral:rRNA from 1 species